GCUUGUGAAGGGAGAACAGGUGUGUGUAUUUGUACUGAUUACUACCAGAGACAAACAGCAGAGAGAGGCUUGUCCUUGUCGGGACGGAGGUGUUGGACGGAACCGUUCCCUCCAUUUCUGACGAUAGAGACGGCCAGGCCUACAGUGCUGGACACACACUCACACUCCAACUGAAUUUGGCUGCAAGUACAUGUGCCUCUUCCCACCUACCAGGUCACUGGUAAUGUAGCCCUCCCUCACAAACACAUCCAUGAUGCUUCCUGGCCUCUCUGGGAGUUUCCAUAUGUUGUGAUGAUUUCAACACAAAAGCCAGGCUCUGAGCCUCGGCUCAGUAAAGCGCUGCUGCCGUGUGGUAACACUAUAUUCCAAGCAUGCAUCUGCCUCUCCCGCAAGGCUCAGAGCAACAGCCUGUGCCAACAUCAUCGGGAGUUCCAUAUAUUACCCAUCUCCAUUCCAGAACCCGGUGACGAAUGGAUUGACCUGGGUCUGAUGUCACAUCCAAACCUGCGCUGGAAAACGGCAGAGGCAGGGGGUCUUUCAACCCCUUGCAACUCUUUCAACCCCUUGGGGGCCCCUUGCAUUUGUGACGGGAAACUGUUUAUAAAUACUCCCGUGGGAUUCGGCACUAAUGAAGAGAAAGCGUGACCCUGGUACGGUCAGUUUGCAGUGAGUGCGGAGUUGGAGGGCUUCCACUGCUCCUAACAACAGCACUCCAUUUUGCUGUGCCUGAAAUGACAAGUGAAGGUCAAUCUCUUGGCCGAAAAAGUAGGGACCGCUACCGUACCCAUCUACCCUGCUCUCCCCUCCUCUUCCCACCCCAGUUUGCCAGCUUUUUGGGGUUGGUUUGCGCCACAUUCCCGCAAAAAGAGAGAAUUUUUGAGGUUAGUCAGUCCUGUGUGAGUGUGGACAAUGCGCAGGGCUUUGUGCCACUGAUCCAAAGCCAGUGGAACCGUUUCAAAGGCAGCAAAGGAGAGUCAAAUGGAGGAUGCUCCAUUUCAGACACUCUUGAAGGCAAUUAACUCAGUGUGUGAGUGGGCCAUUCAGAGGCCUGACUGUGAUUAAAUCAAUUUGAUAAUGAUACACUCACUUGCUGCUGUUAUGAGCUGCCUGUUUGUUUUCGGUAGAGGAGUUUCAGAACACGAUCAAACUAAAUCAUUCUGACAGCACAGAAACUAGAGACCGAAAUUACUACAGAGUUCGAUUUUUAAUUGGCAGCACGCCUCUGAUUGUUUUAGUGCCGGAAUGAAGCAUAAAAAGUCACAGGCUUUACCCACAAGGCUGUUGCUAUACAUUAUCAUAUUUUACUACUAGUCAUAUUUUGACAUGCUGUGAUUAUCAAUUAUAGGUUUUAUUUCAGUUUCCUCAUUUAAAUACCUCAUGAAGGUACUUAAGUACCUCAAAAUUGUU